AUCAUACCGUGCUUUGUAACCAGGAGGAGGUGGACAUUUCUUCUGAGUGCGGGUCCUAAGGGAUCUGAUUGCUGAUUUUUAAGAGACUUCAAACAUUUUGUAGGCCAUUGCAAAGCCCAUGUCUCCUGUGUCUGUGGGUCCUAAUGAUUCAAACAGCCGUGACCAGGCCUGCCUGUGUGGCCCAGCCUCACUGGCAUUCUAAUGAAUAACAUCAUCUCCAUCUCACUGCACAGAAGUAUGAACUGCAGUGUCAGCAGGUUUCCAUGACACCACCCGUGAUGGAGAGCACACAUCUCUCCCACACUCUGCUGGUUACCAAGCCCUGGCAGUGCAGACCAGGCCUCCUGGGCUGCCUUCCUCCCUCCAGCUCGGCUCGCCUCACAGGUUCCUCUUCGCUCCCACGCUCUGCUCCCUAGACCUCCGGCCCAGAAGGAGGGACCCAGAGCCUGAGGCAGGAGAAAUUUCAAGGCAGAGACGAGUUGAGGGUGAGACCCAGGCCAGGCCAGAUAGAAAACACUGUGAGAAAGGACUGAGGCCUCCACAUGCUAGAAUCUUGUGGAAAGAAGUGGAGGCAAAGUUGGGGAUGAGAGAGAGAGGAGGGAGCAGAAGUGUAGUGAGGAAACGAGAUGGGGAAACACCUGGGAAGGCAGACAUGCAUCUGGAAGAUUCAAGAAAAGGUCAUUUCAUCAAGCUGUGCUCCAGCAGUUUGUGUUUCAGCAGCCACACGGACACCUGGGCUUUCCUUUCUGACAUCGUUCUCCAGCCAGCCAGCCAGCCCUUCUCAGAGAUCACAAAGGGCUCUCUAUAAGGGAGACUUUCGAAACUAAGAAACAGAUUUGGGUGUUGCACAUGUUUGCUCUGGAGCCAUACUGCUUGGGCUCAAAUCCCAGAGCCAUGCCUUCAUCACCUGUAGACCUUGGGCACAUUACUCCACAUGCCUGUGCCUCAGUUUCCUCAGCCAUGGAGUGCAGUGGUAAUAGUUCCUACUUUUACUGAGUCAUUGUGAAGUUUCCUGUGAAAGGCCUAGCAUACGAAAAGCACUCCGUAAAUGUUUAGCUGUCAUUCUUUCAAGGAAUUGUAAGAAUAAUAUCACUUAAUUGUGGAAUAUCAUUACUGUUUACAUUUAACAAAUUAUAUGCUUCAAUAAAAAAUGCAAUGGCAUAUAACUGAUAUCUACAGGUAAUUAUAGAAGUUAGGGUUUUUUUCUAUUUAAUUAAAUUAUAGCACUCUAGAAGUAGGAUGGUUCAGUCAUGGGAAGUGAGUUUAGAGUUGAAUGAGAAGUAUCUGUGUUAUGACCAUAUUUAUAACCUCAUUUGGAAGCAGUGUUAAAAGCCCAAAUUUGAAGUCCUUUGUAAAUAUUUGUCUCCAAGCCAAAUGCUUUUCUGGGUCCCCUUCCUGACUCCUGCUCCCACCCCCACUCAUAUCUUAAAAUGACUAGGGCAGAAAAGGGUGGGGGAGUUGGAAUACACUCUACUUCCUGUCUCUGAUUUUACAAUUAUAUUAACAAGGCAUGAGGCCUUUACCUCUACAGCUGGAUGAUUUAUAUGCUUAUAUAUAUAUUACACACACACACACACACACACACACAGAGAGAGAGAGAGAGAGACAGAAAAAGAGACACACACACACAGAGAUUCAGCUUAAGAUGUCAGCAUAGAUCCUUUUGUAAUUCAUGAGCAUGACGAUGGGAUAUAUGCCUCCCUCAAACCUUCUUCCUAUAGGUUGGAACUUUGCCCACCCGACAUGAAAAAAAAGUUAAUGUACAAGGAGAGAUAACGCAAGGCUAAAACUCAUUUGUCCUGUAAACAACUGAAGGCGGGCCAGUCUUUGAGAAGAUGAAGGCCUACAGGUACUAGCCAAAAGAGAAGGGUGGGGAGGACAGUUUAACUUUCCCUACCUCACAAUUUUGUUUUAACUCAUAUAUGCCCAAUAGAAGCUGUGUGUAAUGCAAGCAAAAAAUGAGUGACCUUCUACCAAA